GUGGGUGGCUGGGUGGCUGGGGCCGAGGCCGGAGCGAGCGCAGCGGCGCGUCCGGGCCGAGCAGGCGGUGGCGUGCAGGACAGGCCGGCUGGGAGGCGGCGCGGAGCUGGGGCCGGCGCGGCGCGGAGGCAGGAGAGCGAGACGGGGCCCUGCCCGGGAGCCCGGGAGCCCGGGGCGGGAGGCCUGAGGGGGGCGGCGGGCCUGGAGCUGAGCCUGGAGCGGUCCCGGCCCCGCCGGCCCUGGGAGCCCGGGGGAGGGGGAGCCGAGUGAUCCCGAAAGGACGCCGAGUCCCUUCCGGGUCCCCGUGGUCCUUUGAACCCCGGGGAUUCCGUCCCUGUUUCCUGAGCCGCUGCGGGGGACCACAGCCCCUCCUCCUGACCCGGAUUGGGACCCCAGGUCCCCCUCCUGAGCCCCGGGGGCGUCCCCCAGCCCCCUUCUCCGGACCCCAUUAUGUCUCUGAGCCAGCAGUCCCCUGUCUGAGACCCAGGGAGACUUUCUCUGACCUCUCUUCCCCGAAUGGCCGGGAGACACCCACUCCCUUCUCCUGGUUUCCAGCAGGUCGCCCGCCCCUUCUCUGAAGCCCAGCCGGCACUCUACAGCCCCCUUCUGUGAAUGUUGGGGAGGAGCGUCCUACUGCCUUUCUGAGACCCAGAAGGAGUUCUGACCUGUUCUGAACCCCAGUGGGGACCCGACUUCUCCCUCCCCAGACCCCGAGCCCCAGAAAAACCAGGAGGCAUCUCCUCUCCAAUACAUAGAGGGCCUCGGCAACCCUCCCUGGGUACCCCAAUCUCUGAGCCUUAGUGGGGUGCUCAGAGCCCGUCCCCCAGGACACCCAGUUUCCUGGAGAUUCCUCCCAGUGGGGACCCAGAGCAGCCCCUCAGAGGCUCAGCUAGUACUGAGUUCUCCUUUCUCCCGGGCCCUCAGGCGCCCCUCCUGGAUACCCAGCUUCGACCUCUGGGCCUUGGGGGUACCUUGCUUUUCUUCUUGGUCCUACCCUCCUCCCCGAGUUUCUGUGGGCUCCCUGGGGCCUCCCCUGAACUUAGAGGGUUCCUGGGCCAGAAGAUCUAUUUUGUUCUCUUCCAAGCUCAGAGGCGACCUCCUCUCCCCCACUGGAGAUUCCAGGGGAAGAUCCCGAUCUUCCUUUCUCAGAAUCCAGUGGAAAGUGAGCCCCUCGCUUCCUUCAGCACCCCACUUGUUCCAACCCCCCCCCCGCCCCGGGCCACCCUCGGGACUCUGCCUCCUUUGCACCUGCUCGGCUACGGCCCCGAGGAUGAUGAUGUGGUCCAACUUUUUCAUGCAAGAGGAGGACCGGCGGCGGCGGGAGGCGGCAGGCCGGCGGCGGGCUCUCGGGCAGCACCAGUCCCGGCUGACGCCGGAGCGGGAGGGAAAGAUCAAGCUGGGACUCCUGCUGAGCGCGGUGGGCGCCACGCUGGCCGUGCUGGCCGUGGGCACCGAGUUCUGGGUGGAGCUCAACACCUACAAGGCCAAUGGCAGCGCGGUGUGCGACGCUGUCCACCUGGGGCUCUGGAAGAUGUGCACCAAGCGACUGUGGCAGGCGGACGUGCCCGCGGGCAGAGACACCUGUGGCCCCGCGGAGCUGCCCGGAGAAGCAAACUGCACCUAUUUUAAAUUCUUUACCACGGGGGAAAAUGCACACAUCUUCCAGAGAACUACAAAGAAAGAGGUGAAUCUGGCAGCUGCCGUGAUAGCAGUGGUAGGCUUGGCACUCAUGGCCCUGGGGUGCCUCUGUAUCAUCAUGGUGCUCAGCAAAGGUGCAGAGUUCCUACUCCGAGUCGGAGCCAUCUGCUUUGGCCUCUCAGGCCUGCUGCUCCUGGUCAGCCUGGAGGUGUUCCGGCAUUCUGUCCAAGCCCUGCUGCAAAGAGUCAGCCCUGAGCCUCCCCCAGCCCCAGCCCUGGCCUACGAAUACUCCUGGUCCCUGGGCUGUGGGAUGGGGGCCAGCCUGGUCCUCCUGCUGGCCAGUGGCUGCUUCCUCCUGCUCACCUUGCCUCCGGGGCCCUGGGGCUCACUCUGCCCCAAGCUGGGGCACAGGGCCACCUAGAGCCAGCACUGUGCCUUCUCUAACUCCUUCCUUUUCUUCUUAUCCCUCAAAGUCUUUCCCCUUGUCCUGGAGAAACUGUGUUCUGCCUGCUGUGGGGCACACAUUGUUUGCACACACCUCCCUCUCCUGCCUCAUGUUUUCCCUCUGUGAAUAUGUUCUUCUCGGUGGCUGAAUUGGGAUGCUUGGGGUACGAUGGAGAGAGGCCUUUUACAAACGAGGGUCCCCAGGGAAGGCUUGCAGGGGGACCUGAUGGGGUAACUGGGGAGUAGGGUGGGGGGGAUGAGGUCAGGGGGUCUUAGGACGGACUUGGACUGAUUCAUUUCCCAGAUCUGGAUGUAUUCACUUGUGGGAGAGGCAUCUUCCAACUAAUUUGAACCUUGGGGAAACGGGAGGGGGAGGGGAAAUCGCUGGGUCUGGCCUCGCUGUGGUCUGGUUUGGGAUUAAAGGUUUGGAAAUUUCAGAGCUUUGAUUUGGAGUCUGUUUGGAUAUGGUUGUGUGUUCCGGGGUGGCGAAGAGUGACCCCUUGUGCUCUCCGGAAGCCUGCUACUUAGCAGCCCCGAAGUCACAUGUCAACAAACCCACAGAGUGACCAGAAAACUCAGCAGCUUAGAGCACACACAUCGUGGGUUGAACUGCAUCCCACGUCUGGACGCCUGUGCUGGGAUCCCGACCCCCAGGAUCUCAGGGUCUGUUCGGAGGUACCCAGGUGAAAGCGAGGUCAUCGGGGUGGACUCUCCUCCAGUAUGACUGGAGUCCUUGUAAGGAGGGGAGGACGCAGACAGGUGCCGAGGGAAGACACAGAGGCUCUCAGCUGCCUGUGAACCGAGGAGAGAGCCGGGAAUGGAUUCUCCCUCACGGUCCUCAGAAGGAGACAACCCCGAGACCCGCUGACCCUGGACUCCCCGCCUCCAGAACCUGGAGACAGUACACAGUGUCCUUCAGGCCACCGGUCUGGUCUGUGGUGCUUUGUUAGGGCAGCCCCAGCGGGCUGGACAGAUUCUAGUGCCUGGAAACGGUGUGACACACGGGGCUCUGGGACGGGGGCAGGGACAGGCAGGGGGCUUUGGAGGUGCCCGACAGAAGAGCCGCCCUGGGCUCCAGGAGACGGUCGGUGGGGACACGCAUCCCCAGGGCUCAGAAGGAGGCGGGGAGAGUUGUAGGGACAGUGGCUGUGUUCUCAGGGAACGCCGUCAUCACUGUGCACUAGAAAGCUGGUAGGAAUCGGAACAGCACCAGCUGAUGCUACAGAGAACCAAGACCCACGUCCAGGGCUCCAGCGCUCAGGCCCAAGGACCAGCCUCGCACCUUGGGAAGACCAGGAGCUCCUCGUGUGCUACCCCUACAGCCGCUGCCAGGAGUAAUGCCGUCCUAAUCCCUGCAGAGCCCUGGAGGACAACCUGGCACGGGGUCAUGACUCGAUCAGCCCUGCUGUUAUUAUUUAUCGAGUGGCACUUUGGGCCCAGCAUACAGUAGAGAGCAAAAAAGGGACCCCCAGGGAGCUGACAGUCUGGUGAGGGAAACAGAUAUUAAUCACAUAAUCACAGUAAUGGACGUGUAAUUAUAAACUCUGGUCAGAGCCAGGGAAGGGGAUCAGCAACACGUUUGUUUUUUUUCCUGCUUGACUUUGAGCCCAGCCGUCUCGGGGAUGCCCUGAGAGCUGUCUGCCUCGGGGGAGAGUCCUCCGGUCUUGGGAAUGGCUCUUUGUGCAGCAAGGCCUUCACUCUGCACCUUCUUUGCCACCUGCAGUCUGGUGGACUCCUCGGAGGUGGGGGAAGGGAGCGGAGACCCAGCAAAGACCAGUAACUGGAAACACAUCAUGAUACGGGACCAGUUAUUGAAACAUUAACUUGCAUCACUUCACUUUCUAUAUAUUUAUAAAUUUUUUUUAACAUUUAUUCAUCUUUGAGAGAGAGAGAGAGAGAGAGAGACUGAGUGAGCAGGGGAAGAGCAGAGAGAGAGGGA